rfam:Globodera pallida, Lindley, WGS project CBXT01000000 data, contig: pathogens_Gpal_scaffold_1533_contig_1
GCUGGGAUGGCCGAGUGGUCUAAGGCGCUAGACUCAAGUGACACGAACGCUUGCCCGUUAAUGACUGGGUAUUCUAGUGGGCGUAUGCCCGCGUGGGUUCGAAUCCCACUUCCAGCA